AUCACCAAAAAACAAUGUAAGAGUAACCAAAAAAAAAACUGAGAAAAUAAGGAAGGCGUGACGCUUGGUGCAUGCUCUAAAGGAUCUAACAUCCAGAUUAUAUAAGAAAGUGGCUGUAAAUACUUAGGUUCUCAGGGACAAAGGAGAAGAAAUUAUGAUGAACAAUGAAUCAACCUGAAGAAAAAGGCAGAACAUAUGGAUUUCAUCCAUUGUAGCAUGAUAUCAAUUUGUUCAGAAAAUAGGAAAACGAUAAAAAUUGGGAAAAGAUGUACCAGA
rnacentral:lncRNA from 1 species